GAUGAAGAACGUAGCGAAAUGCGAUACUUGGUGUGAAUUGCAGAAUCCCGUGAACCAUCGAGUCUUUGAACGCAAGUUGCGCCCGAAGCCAUCAGGUUGAGGGCACGUCUGCCUGGGCGUCACAUAUCGUUGCCCAAUGCCUAUUGCAGUGCAAUAGGAAUUUCUAGGGCGAAUGAUGGCUUCCCGUGAGCGUUGUUGCCUCGCGGUUGGUUGAAAAUCGAGUCCUUGGUAGGGUGUGCCAUGGUAGAUGGUGGUCGAGUUAGAACCAUACCGAUCAUGUGCAUGCUCCCCAAAAUAUGGCCUCUAUGACCCACACGCGUCUUUUGACGCUCAUGACGAGACCUCAGGUCAGGCGGGGCUACCCGCUGAAUUUAAGCAUAUCAAUAAGCGGAGGA
rnacentral:misc_RNA from 1 species